rnacentral:rRNA from 1 species
CAGUCGCCGCGGUAAUACGUAGGUGGCAAGUGUUGUCCGGAAUUAUUGGGCGUAAAGGGCUCGCAGGCGGUUUCUUAAGUCUGAUGUGAAAGCCCCCGGCUCAACCGGGGAGGGUCAUUGGAAACUGGGAAACUUGAGUGCAGAAGGGGAGAGUGGAAUUCCACGUGUAGCGGUGAAAUGCGUAGAGAUGUGGAGGAACACCAGUGGCGAAGGCGACUCUCUGGUCUGUAACUGACGCUGAGGAGCGAAAGCGUGGGGAGCGAACAGGAUUAGAUACCCCCGUAGUCCCUGUCUCUUAUAC